CCUACGGGCGGCUGCAGUGAGGAAUAUUGCACAAUGGACGCAAGUCUGAUGCAGCAACGCCGCGUGGAGGAUGAAGGUCUUUGGAUUGUAAACUCCUUUUCUCAGGGAAGAGAAUGGACGGUACCUGAGGAAUAAGUCACGGCUAACUACGUGCCAGCAGCCGCGGUAAUACGUAGGUGGCAAGCGUUAUCCGGAAUUACUGGGCGUAAAGCGCACGCAGGCGGUCUCUUAAGUUUGACGUGAAAGCUCUCGGCUUAACUGGGAGAGGUCGUUGAAUACUGGGAGACUUGAGGCAAUGAGAGGGGUGUAGAAUUCCCGGUGUAGUGGUGGAAUGCGUAGAUAUCGGGGGGAAUACCAGUGGCGAAAGCGGCACCCUAGCGUUGUACUGACGCUCAUGUGCGAAAGCGUGGGGAGCGAACGGGAUUAGAUACCCCUGUAGUC
rnacentral:rRNA from 1 species